rnacentral:lncRNA from 1 species
UGGAUUCAAAAAGGGAAACAAGGGGCUUUAGGUUCAGAGUCGAUGUUACAUCCGGUGUUUGUGUCUUUUAUUUCCUCGGUUUUCUUUACUUAUUUCUUGAAUUUUUUACCGACUGCCCUUUUCCGUGCUUCUUUCUUUCGAAUCAUCGAGUAUUUGAUUUUUCUUUUUCUUUCUUUUUCUCGAUUUAUCAAUUUUUCUUUUUCUUUUGUUUUUGCACUUUCUAAGGCUUUGAGAGCUUUUGGGGUUUUUACCCCAAACUUAGCUUUUCAACAUAGCUGGAAUAUAUUCUCAUGACUCUAAAUAGGGUGAAGGACUGUUUUGGCCAAUGGUUACAUUCAUGGUGUUUUAAACAAAAAAAAUGGAUACAGGCUCAAAGGGGGUGAACGAGGGAUAUAGUAAUUCGAGAUGGCUAGAAAGGCUCGGGGUUAAUUAC